rnacentral:rRNA from 1 species
UACGGAGGAUGCAAGCGUUGUUCGGAAUCACUGGGCUUAAAGCGCGUGUAGGCGGGAUGUUUGGUGUCGUGUGAAAUCCCCGGUCUCAACCCGGGAACUGCGCGGCAUACCGGUAUUCUUGAGGCAAGCAGAGGUGACUGGAACGACGGGUGGAGCGGUGAAAUGCGUAGAUAUCCGUUGGAACGCCGGCGACGAAGGUGAGUCACUGGGCUUGUCCUGACGCUGAGACGCGAAAGCGUGGGUAGCAAACAGG